CCUACGGGAGGCAGCAGUAGGGAAUCUUCCACAAUGGACGAAAGUCUGAUGGAGCAACGCCGCGUGAGUGAAGAAGGGUUUCGGCUCGUAAAGCUCUGUUGGUAGUGAAGAAAGUUAGAGGUAGUAACUGGCCUUUAUUUGACGGUAAUUACUUAGAAAGUCACGGCUAACUACGUGCCAGCAGCCGCGGUAAUACGUAGGUGGCAAGCGUUGUCCGGAUUUAUUGGGCGGAAAGCGAGUGCAGGCGGUUCAAUAAGUCUGAUGUGAAAGCCUUCGGCUCAACCGGAGAAUUGCAUCAGAAACUGGUGGACUUGAGUGCAGAAGAGGAGAGUGGAACUCCAUGUGUAGCGGUGGAAUGCGUAGAUAUAUGGAAGAACACCAGUGGCGAAGGCGGCUCUCUGGUCUGCAACUGACGCUGAGGCUCGAAAGCAUGGGUAGCGAACAGGAUUAGAUACCCCAGUAGUC
rnacentral:rRNA from 1 species